rnacentral:rRNA from 8 species
CUCUUAUUAGUACGAAAGGACCAUAAGGGUAAAAUAAUUUUNNAUUUAUUUGAUUAAUAUUAAUUUAGGAUAAA